GUGUGCUCCCGCGUAGCUUAUGGUUGCUCCCGCGUAUCCUGCCGUAUUACCAGAGUUCGCCGUCCUGUCGAUUCAAUGCACCUCCUGAAACACGACGCACCUCAUUGUAGAUAACCUUCACUGGGGCCGUUACAUACUGAACGGCGUAACGUCAACAAUCGACGAAACGUUCGCCGUGGCUGGCUCGCAAAAAAUGCAACGUCACAACAUAAUAUAAACAGUUCAUAAACGAAUCGGACUCUGCAUUCAACGAAACAUGAUAGACGUGUUGCACGAGUGCCGACGCCGACGUCACUAACAUCUAACAACCACACGUUCGACCGUCAAAGGUAACACUGGCUGGCGAACCGGCGACG